UCGUUAGGCUUUAAGAGCCGGAGAGCGGGGGUGUCCGGUGUCGGGUGAAUUAGAGAGAGGGAAAGAGAGACGGGAGAGAGAGGGAAUAGAGAAAGAGAGGUAAAUGAGUUGUUUUUUUUGAGAGAAAGAGAGGUCUAGACUCGCCGCCGCCGAGGUAGGAGAAGGAGGUGGGCAGAGGGAGUCUAGCUCGAGGCGGGGCUACACCUCCUUCCAUAGCGGCGGGGCUACACCUCCUUCCAUAGCGGCGGGGCUACACCUCCUUCCGGAGUGACGGGGCAGCUAAACGUUCGUACUUAGUUCGCUCGAGGUGGGGCUUCACCUCCUUUACCAUGCGCCGGCAGCUAGACGCGCGCAGAUUGGUACCUCUACCUCCCGAGCGGGGGAGCGCGCGAGGAGGUGCCUCACGAUCGUCGGGUGUGCCGCAUGUAGUCGGUAGGCAAAGCAGGCAGGGUACGCGGCCGGCGACCACCGAUGGCGAGACAAGACAAGUAGGGGGCGGGCGGCGUGCGCUACCGGGUGUGACGGUACAACAAAACGACGCCGGUCUGGCGGCAGGGACGGGAGCGCGAGGCCCGUCUCGGAGUAAGAACGACCAUACGCAAGGAGGGCCGCCACCGCGAGACGGGUGACGCAGCGGAAAGAAGGUCGCCGACGCGGCAAGUUGGGGAUGGAGAUUGGAUAACUAGACCGUUGUAUCUCUCCUUCGACGUUUCUGCGCACUACUCAUUUUUCAGCCAUGUGGAAAUUUGAAACAUUAUAAACCCUCUCCUACUGAUUAACUUAUAACGAUUGUAUAUACAAACAACAGGAACUGGACCUACGGCUACUGUGAGAAAAAGUAAGUCAAACAUCAACCAAACGUAACAAAGACGUUUUCUUAGAACAGACUUACAGAAUUUUUUUUAUCAACCAGUACUCAGUACACCCAAUGUCACGUAGUAGACAUGAGACGGAGAUGUGUUAUAUGUAGAGUAAUGAAUAAAGGUGUUAUAGUAUUCAGCUCUUUAUUAAACAAAACAACAAAAGACAACACUUCACGUACUAUGCCUGUAAAGCGAGGUAAACACGAUAAAAGAUGAGAUUAACUGUAGAGUUAUACAAUAAGAUCUUAAAACAACGAAGACAACCUUGGGUAUAAUAGUUAAAAUGUGGUACGUUUUCAGUACUGAUUGUCCGACCUAAGACUGAUAAAUCCAAAGCUGAAACCUGUAGACUUAUCUAAUAUAUGACCUCUAACGAACAUAAUAUUAUCUUCCAUUUGAAUGGUUUGCUUGUCUCCUUCAAUAUUUUGUCUCAUAACAGAAGAUACGAUACGUGUGCAGUUUACCCUUACGAUCAAAAGACUUAGAAUUAGGUCAUUCUUAUUUAUCAAGAACUCGCAGUCAAGAUAUACAGUCACCAGUUUACUAUCAGUUAAGAAACAAAGUGAGUACGAGUUUUAACAGUUUUAUUACGAUGAAGAUGGGUAUCAUGUCUGUAAUUCCUAGUAUUUCAAGUAUAUUCUGUAAUUCCGAUAGUUAAAAAUCCGUAUAAUAGAUAAACAAUACCGAAGAGCCAUCUGAAGUCAGAAAUCUUCUACCUCUCCUUGAACCGACCAUCAAAACACGAACGUGAAGUGUAAGUAAACAAUCAUGAGGUAAACGAUACGUAGUUGUAAGUUCGUUCAUCCUAAGGGUCACAUAAACGUCAAAAAUGUAGCACAUAACGUACACUUAAUACCAGUGAUGACAGUUAGGUACCUUUAAAUUUACAUAUCACUACCUACUUUGCUUAACUUGGAUAUAGAAUGGUAGGUAUACGGUAUUGGCGUAUUCGUCCAAUCAAGAUUUUCCAGUAACAAUUAAAUGGGCGCAGGCAGGGCGUUAACGGUGUUGAGUAGAACGUAUUCACAAGGAUAUUCAACCAUGUUUCUAAACUGGUACCUACUUGAAGUAUACCUAUUGUGUAAUCAAACACGUGUUGGUAUAACGUAAAAGAACGUAUUAGACUUUUGUAGUUUUAAUUGAUCUCUUCACUUAUAUAGAAGAGAUUGUGCCAGGUGUACAAGGAGACAGUCAAACCUAGUAUUGUUCAGCUUGAUAGUCUUCGUGUAUCAGAAGGCCGGGUACCCUGUUGGGUGUAGCAAAACCGUGGAAUGGGCACCACAGGUGUUGCUGUUAAAAACGCCCGAACCUACACCCGUGGUACCCGUAGGUGAACGUCGGAAUCAACGAUCACGAAUCACGUCACUCUAAUCUCCUACCAAUAGUUAAAUUAGAUUAAACACCGUGAUUUAAUGUCCACGAAAAAGACUACGAAAAUACUUAUAUUAUCAGUCCACGUCGGAUUCAAGUCUACGAAAAACUGAUCAUAAAACGUCCAGGAGUACACGAAUCACGACGUAAAUCUUUACUGACACUUAUCUAAGAAGAAGAACUUUAAGUAAAGAUUGUUAGGCCCGCGGCUACAUCGCGCGGUGAUUCCUACGCUGCUGGGCUAGGAGCGAGUGAACGGUGGCAUAGGCCUAGUUCUAUGCCGCGCGGUGAACCCCCCACUGCCGGGCCGGGAACGGGUAAAAGGUGGUGUGGGCCCAAGGCUACACCGCGCAGCGACUCUCCCAAUGCGGGGUUGCUUUUAGAAAACCCAAAGUAGAAGUAUUCUCACCGACUCAAAAAUGCAACCGAGCGGUUCGGAUAGUGUUGGGAGGAGGAAAUGGGCCCGAACCCUGGCCGAUACAACUCUGUUGUAUCCGCCUCAAGGUAACUAGGAAAUAUGUUAAUAAUAAAAAUGGUAAUAGAGAUACUUACGUACUUAAGUGGCCACUGAAGAAAAUUAGGAAACAUCCUUACUGUAUGUUCUCCUGGAAACAUCCUUACUGUAUGUUCUCCUGGUCCCUCCUUGGUACUUCUACCGUCAAACACAGUCGAUCUGUAAAACACAUUACCUCGUUAUUGUUACGCAGAAGAUACAUAGUAAAACAUUUGGAUAUACCACAGGACAGUUGACCCAUAAAACACAUUACCUCGUUUGUCACUUAACUACCUGUACGUAGAUAGUAAAACAUUUGUAUAGUCAACAGAGCCACUAUUUUCGUAUUUACAAAGGAG
rnacentral:rRNA from 1 species